CCUCCUUCAAAAUGCAGCCUGAUUGUGAUUCAUGGCAAAAAGCUGGAAUAGCCCUGCCAGGUCGUAGACACAUUAAGAUAAAUUGCAUUGAAUGUGAUACAUAUAAAACAGCACCUUGAAAAUGAAUCAUCUGCUAAUUCAGUAUUUUCUAAUUACAAUCACUCCCUCUCAGGGCAUGUAAUUAAUUUACUGAGUUUAAAAAAAAAAAAGUCAGGAUUACUCACACAGUCUUGAAGAUGCAAUGUCAGCUAUUUAGGACAGAAACAUCCAAGGCCGUGUUAGAACUCAAUUACCACUACAUAGGCGUUAAAGCAGGAACUGCAGGCCUCUGGACUACGGCAACUAUAGGACUCGUGCUGCUCGUACGCUGGGCUAUAAUUUAUGAAACUGAGCCCCAGAUCCAGCCAAUCAUUUAGCUCCUCAUAACAAGUCUAACUGGCUCUGGAAAGCUGAAAGGGCUGCACUAGAACAACAAAGAUGAGAUAGUCCACACAAUAAUCUGCUUAUCUGGAAUCACUUUCCCUCACAAGGGCUGGAGAAAAAUCACAGCUCCAUUGUCUGAGGGCAGGACAGCUGACCUGAGAAAAUGCGACUACACCUGGAGCACGACCUUUUCUGGCGUGGCAAUCCCAGUCGAGCCGGCAUUAAAGGACCGAGCUGCCCCUGGAAACCGAAGGGCAAUGACAGCCGCAAAAACCUCAGUGCUGUUGUCUACAGUGACUAUGUGAGAACCGAAACUUCUGAGGAAGCCAGGGUGUUAAAAUUGUUCCCUUUACUCAAAGAUAAUAUGGAUUAUGUAGCCUGAAAUGGAAAUCAAACCCUUAAGGUAAUAUUGCCAUUGAAUCCUCAACACACCCAACUCCCCCUUUCUCAUUCCCUUAAUAAAACUUCAUUAAAAUCCCCUC